AUUGAACGCUAGCGGCAUGCUUAACACAUGCAAGUCGAGCGGCAGCGCGGGGAAACCUGGCGGCGAGCGGCGGACGGGUGAGUAAUACGUAGGAAUCUGCCUUGUAAUGGGGGACAACCCGGGGAAACUCGGGCUAAUACCGCAUAAUCUCUAAGGAGGAAAGUAGGGGACCUUCGGGCCUUACGUUAUAAGAUGAGACUGCGUCGGAUUAGCUAGUUGGUGGGGUAAAGGCCUACCAAGGCGACGAUCCGUAGCUGGUCUGAGAGGACGAUCAGCCACACUGGGACUGAGACACGGCCCAGACUCCUACGGGAGGCAGCAGUGGGGAAUAUUGGACAAUGGGGGAAACCCUGAUCCAGCAAUGCCGCGUGUGUGAAGAAGGCCUUCGGGUUGUAAAGCACUUUCAGUGGGGAAGAACUAAUUCAAGGCUAAUAACCUUGAGUCUUGACAUUACCUACAGAAGAAGCACCGGCAAACUCUGUGCCAGCCGCCGCCGUAA
rnacentral:rRNA from 1 species